AAUAUUGGACAAUGGGCGAUAGCCUGCUCCAGCCAUGCCGCGUGUGUGAAGAAGGUCUUCGGACUGUAAAGCACUUUAAGUUGGGCGGAAGGCCAGUAAGUUAAUACCUUGCUGUUUUGACGUUAGCGACAGAAUAAGCUCCGGCUAACUUCGUGCCAGCAGCCGCGGUAAUACGAAGGGUGCAAGCGUUAAUCGGAAUUACUGGGCGUAAAGCGCGCGUAGGUGGUUUGUUAACUUGGAAGUGAAAGCCCCGGGCUCAACCUGGGAACUGCUUUCAUAACUGCUGAGCUAGAGUACGGUAGAGGGUAGUGGAAUUUCCUGUGUAGCGGUGAAAUGCGCAGAUAUAGGAAGGAACACCAGUGGCGAAGGCGACUACCUGGACUGAUACUGACACUGAGGUGCGAAAGCGUGGGGAGCAAAC
rnacentral:rRNA from 1 species